rnacentral:lncRNA from 1 species
AGGAAUCUUAUUAAUUAUACAACAGUGAUAUUGCUUUGAAACUUUUUUUUCAUGAAAACAUGAGUCAAUAAUCUGAUUUGAUUUACUAAAUAUGGUGACAUUUCACUUAUGCACAUUUUAAUGUUGAUGAGUUGCAUAUUUCAAAAUCCUCUUUUUACUACACAUUGAGCUUAUAGUCAGCUUAAGUUUCAUUUAUUCAAUCCUGCAUAAGUUCAACAAAAAUGUCUGCUAAUAAACACUUGAACCACCUCGGUUACCAUUCUGUACAUGAAUAUAUCUCUCAUAACAAAUUUCAUAUUCAUUGCUGAUUCCAGGUAUCAAAAUUUUCAUCCUCCAGUAAAAUUAUUCUUGACAGGAUGUAUUGUGUACUGAAAAUAAAAAAAAUAUUUUGUUAUUAAAUUAAGUUUGUUGAUUCAAUUGAAAAGUAAUGAUGAAUGAUAAUUUUGAUAUAUUAUAUUUCAUUGUUAUGGGCAUCUAUGACCCAAAUAUGGUCUGCUUAAGUCAUUCUCUUAUCUGAAAAAAAAUGGUAAAGUUUAUUAAAACACUUUUGACAUUCUCAUGGAUAUGAUGCACAUCAUGUAA